rnacentral:rRNA from 1 species
UACGGAGGGUGCAAACGUUGCUCGGAAUCAUUGGGCGUAAAGCGCACGUAGGCGGCCUGACAAGUCGGGUGUGAAAGCCCUGGGCUCAACCCAGGAAGUGCACUCGAAACUGCCAGGCUUGAAUAUGGAAGAGGGUCGCGGAAUUCCCGGUGUAGAGGUGAAAUGCGUAGAUAUUGGGAGGAACACCAGGUGGCGAAGGCGGCUCACUGGACCGGAACUGACGCUGAGGCGCGAAAAGCG